CCUACGGGUGGCAGCAGUGAGGAAUAUUGGUCAAUGGUCGGGAGACUGAACCAGCCAAGCCGCGUGAGGGAGGAAGGUACAGAGUAUCGUAAACCUCUUUUGUCAGGGAACAAAGACUGGGACGCGUCCCCGGAUGAGUUUACCUGAAGAAAAAGCAUCGGCUAACUCCGUGCCAGCAGCCGCGGUAAUACGGAGGAUGCGAGCGUUAUCCGGAUUUAUUGGGUUUAAAGGGAGCGUAGGCCGCAUGUCAAGCGUGGUGGGAAAUGUCCGGGCUCAACCCGGGCAUUGCAGGGCGAACUGGCGUGCUGGAGUGCGCGGAAGGCAGGCGGAAUUCGUGGUGUAGCGGUGAAAUGCGUAGAUAUGACGAAGAACCCCGAUUGCGAAGGCAGCUUGCUGGAGCGGAACUGACGCUGAUGCUCGAAAGCGCGGGUAUCGAACAGGAUUAGAUACCCGGGUAGUC
rnacentral:rRNA from 1 species